CGUCCCCUGGGGUCCCCUCCGCCUCUCCGCGCCGCGCGAGCACCACAGGACGUCGAUGGCCUUGGGGCCCCUGCUGAUACUCAAGCUGCCACCCUAAGACUGGCAGCGGAGAAGGCUCGGAGGUCGCUGGCAGAGACCGGUCGGCUCAAGUGGGUGGCCUCGGGUGAAGCGGAAGGACAGCGUCCUGGCGGGGCGCAGCCAGGGUCGUGGCCAGACUCCAGCUCCCCGCCCGGGGAACGAAGCCGGCGACGUUGUGGAAUGGUCCGGCGAGAAACGAGGAGGGUCCGGAGCGCACCGGCCACCCACCGGCGCCGAGGCUCGAGGCUCGGAGUCCUGCUCCUUGAGCAGCGCUGCGCAGUAGGGACUCCAUCUCCAUCUCUACUUUAUUUUCACAUUUGAGAACCUGUUGAUGGGAUGGAUGAAAAUGCUGAAGUUGAUCACAGUGCUGAGAAUAUUCUUGAAGAUAAAUGGAAGAACUGUUAUAUGCAACAAAUCGGUCAGCUGUCUUUUCUGCCUGUACCACUUGGAGGGAAAAAAAAUCAGAAGGACUCUUUGCUUCCUCCUUCUGGAAGGAGUUGAGCUAAAGGACAAUCAGAUUCUGGGGUCUUCCUGGGACUUUCUUCUACUGGUGACGUGACUGGAGCAGGAGGAAGACCCGAGCUCAUGCCUGAGCUGAAGUCUUGCCUUUCUUCAGCAGAAUUGCAUGCAGAUUUCAGUUUCCAGCAUCCUUGUGGCUUUCUGGUAAGAAAAUGGUUGAACUACAGGACACUCUUGGAAAGCAGGGCCCAUGUGGGUAGGAAAUGUCGAGCAGAAGAAAGGAGCUCUUCAUGGGUCCUGUGACUUCGAGUCAGUUGCAGUGGUGUCUAAGUCCCCAGGACACACAGAGCAAAUGUCAGUAGUAGCAUUCAGUGAGAAUGGCCAGCAGGAUGAGAGGGGUGAGCUUCGUCUCUCUCAGCCUCCUUUGAAGUCUGCCCUGUAAAUGACUCCCUUUUAGUACCUUCUGUGGUAUUGGCAGAGAAGUACUUCUUGAUGGAUUAAAUUCGUUUUGCAUUUGCAGCUGUAGCUCAAGAGAGAAAUGCAAGUUUGUA
rnacentral:lncRNA from 1 species